rnacentral:misc_RNA from 1 species
GGGAUCCCGGGUUCCCAGGACAUCUCGGCUACGUAGGGGUGAGGGGUCCUAUGGGACCGAAGGGCGAAACUGGCUCCAAGGGCAAGCAAGGCGCAAUGGGAUCACAUGGAAUGCGUGGACAAACGGGUCCAAAAGGAGAAAAGGGAGAUCAAGGACCCCCUGGACCACCAGGUAUUCCUGGAUUUCCCGGUUUUGCUGGAACAGACGGAACCAUGGGAAUGAUGGGCGACAUGGGGGAGCCCGGGCCCAAAGGCGACCAAGGGGAGCCCGGCGAACCGGGCAUUGUUGGACGGAUGGGAGAGACCGGAAAACCCGGGGACACUGGCGCCCCGGGAAUCAUGGGAUACAGGGGACCCCGCGGGGAGUACGGACCGACAGGGGUAGAGGGGGUGCCAGGAUUCCCAGGUUUACCAGGAGACUCCGGACUUCCAGGUCCUCAGGGACCACAGGGGGUGACGUACGCCGAGUACAUUAUCGCUUACAACGAGGCUCUCGCCAGGUUACGUGAAAGCGAACAGUAAUACCAAGUGUUUGGACGUUUGGAGCUUUAGCAUAGGCUUAUUUUAAUGACAUAUCUAGAAAAGCUUUGUUGCCAAAAUAUAUAUGUUUCUAAUAGAAUUUUAAAUAGUUCUUUGCAAUAUUUGAUUAUUCAAAAUUAUUUGUCAUCGAUAGAAACGUAAUUGAACUCAUGACCGUAUGUAUAUGUACAUACAUUGCCAUACUUCUGAGGAGCGGUACAGGUGUGUGCGCGUGGAUCUAUUACCCAUCAAAUAUAUCAAUUAUAUCACACGCUGAUUUUGAUUUACAUUUACAACAUCAGUUGGCUUACUAAGUACUCCAAACAAGCUAUACGGAAAUACAUCCGUGCACCUGUUCCCAGAAGUCUAUGAAAAUCUUGGUUCCUUAAUUGGUGACAUGGGAGGUUGGAAUAUCCCAGUAUUUUAUUACUUGUUCGCGAUUAUAAAAUUGACACGCAGUUUUACGAAAUGAAACUUGGUAGACCUACAAUGGUCUUUAUGAGAAAAGGCAGACGUUCAAGCGAUAUUGGCAAAAGGUGACUGCCAGGUUUUUAAAGAAUUGUAAAAACUCAAUGUUCACCAAAUAUGAAAUGAUUUGAAACAGUGUGUGUAAGAUUAGACGACCGGUGAUAGCUUGAUUUGUUAUAUUGUGUGUAUUAAUUCUUCAAAUGAUUGUACUUAUACAUGUAAUAAAUAUUUGUGAAACUCUGCCGUUUCACGUUUUGAAGAUUU